rnacentral:rRNA from 1 species
UACGUAGGGGGCGAGCGUUGUCCGGAUUUAUUGGGCGUAAAGAGCUCGUAGGCGGUUUGGUAAGUCGGGUGUGAAAUCUCCACGCUCAACGUGGAGGGGCCACUCGAUACUGCCAUGACUCGAGUCCGGUAGAGGAGUGUGGAAUUCCAGGUGUAGCGGUGAAAUGCGUAGAUAUCUGGAGGAAUACCGGUGGCGAAGGCGGCAUCCUGGACCGGCAUUGACGCUGAGGAGCGAAAGCCAGGGGAGCAAACGGG